AUAAUAAAACAAGGAGAGUAAUUAUUUUAGGGUUAAUAAUAUAAAUACAUAAAUAAAUAAAAACCUAAGUUCUUAUUAACACAGCCUCCGCAGCCGUGAGAAUGAGGGGGAAGGAGAAGAACAGCCGCAGUCCAGGUCUUGGACUUAGGUUUCGUAGCUCUUGCUCUGGGCCACCAUUAUCACAGGUAAGAAAACUUCCAUUUCUCUCUCUAUUUUUCUGAAAUCUGGUUCUUCUCUGAUCUGAUGAGUGAAAUAGGUUUGAAUUCAGUUCUGAAAUGGUUUGAUUUUUAAAUUUCUUCCAUGAUUGAAAUGGGUUUCUGAAAUGAUCUUUAUUUUCUGAAAGGGGUUUCGGAAUGGUUUCUAUCAUUGCACCGUUUCAAAAAUGGUGCUCGACAAAAUGUCACAAUGGCAUUGCAAAGAUGAGAUUUGUCAUCUCAGUUCUGUUAUUUCUUGUGUUCAUUUUAUUUGGAGUUGGCUUAUUGACUCAAGUAUUUAUGAGUAAUGAAUCUUCCCAAACCCACCUAUGAUAGACAUUUUGUAAUUUGGUAUCUUCUAGCAUUAGUGCGAGCAUUCAGGAAUUUGUGAUCAUGGUUCUUGAGUUCCUUUUGUACUCUAUUCAACUAGACAAGUUUUAUUAAUUGCUCCUGCACAAAUUAAGAGUUACUUGGUUGGAUGCAUCGCAAGUUCCGGGCCAAUGAACCACUGAAGGAUUUUAGCGUAGGGAAUUCUUGUACUUGUCUUUCAGGGCAACCAUCACUGGAUGACCAACAGUACUACCCAAAGUCAAAUUUUGGCACUAAAUCCUUAGGCAAAGCACAAAGAGACAACCAUCUGCGAAAAUCAUUUGCCAGCCUAGAAGCAGCAAGAGUAGAAGCAGACGACUUUGAAGAAGAAUCUUCAGUUGCGAUUUCCGAGCUCUUGCAUGGCUUCCUUACCAUAGGUACUCUUGGUUCAGACCCAGUCAGCACAGACUCAUCAACGCCAACAUUUGCCAUAUCAGUUGAGAACAUAACUGAAAAAGAAACAGAAGUAACAGAGAAUGAACUGAAGCUUAUUAAUGAUGAGUAGGAGAAGGUGAUAGGGGCUGAAAGAGACAGUUUCAAUGACUUAUCUGGGAGAAACAGUCAUGUUAGUACUGGAAGAAACAUUUAUGUUAGCACUGGAAGAAGCUGCCAUGGUAGCACCAUUACACUUAGAGGAAAGCCAUUGGAAGGCACAUAGACCAGUUGGAAUGGAACAACAAUCUGUCCACUCCAGAGCUAUCUGUUUGGAUCAGCAAUUGAGUUGCCAGAAACAACCACAGUGGUAAAGAAGGAACAUAGAACAUCGCUUGGGGAGCUGUUUCAGAGGACAAAAAUAGCAGAGGAAAAUUAUGUAGCCAAAAGCGAGAGGGGAGAAAAACGGACAUAAAAGGAGACAGAUAAAUCAGCCAUACACCUUAUGAAAAAGAUGCUGAAGAAAAGAAUGGUUCAUGGUUCUUCUCGGAGCUCCACCACAUCGACUGGGGGAAAUGUUGACUCUGCUUCAUCUGAGACAAAACUGCAUAAGGUAUGUGUACUUCUAGUUUAGACCUCUAUUACAUGAACUUGGGUGCAAUGCAUAUCAAAAUGUCGGACCCAACAAAUCUCAAAUUUAAGGUAUGCAAACUCGGCAAAAAAAGGUGAAUUUUUUUUUUAAUAUUAUUUUUAAUAUAUUAUGUGAGACAAAAUGGAAACAUAUAGUGUCAAAAAGGCAUUUUACUUAUUUUACUUCAGUCAUUUGAUCUAUGUAGUGGUUUCACUACGUGGGACUAUUGCAAACUUUCUUGGAGUGUUGAGAUGCCAUUAUACCCUUAUAGUGUACUGAAUGUGCUUGUUCAUCUUUAAGAACUUGUUUAACGUAAGUGUUCUCCAGUUAUGGUUACAUGCUCUCCAGUUACGGUUACAUGCUCCCUUUUCUGCCUAUGCAACAGUUUGAUCGACAAUUGUACUUUGUAGUUCUAAUUUAAGCUCAUUUACUUGACUAUGUUAGUCUCAUUUAUAGGGGCUGCUAUGGUUUUCCAUGGGUUUUAAUACUUCAUUGCAAGCUAGUAAUGGAAAUUUCAAUUUUUCAUUUCUUUCAGUGAUAGGACAAAAUAUUAUCUGUUGGCAUCCUUUGUUCUACACAUAAAGCAUAGUGAGUCCAAGGAUUCCGCUGUAAGCCCAAGAAUUUUGCUUUCUGGUCCUGCAGAUUUAUCAUGAUAUGACAGCUCAUUUAUCUCACUAUUUUGUAUAAACGGGCCAUAAUUUGUAUCUAACGGGAAAUCAACUAAGGAGUGACUGCAGUGAUGUCCCGAUCAUACAAGCAUUGCAGAGAGGUGUUAGAGUAUUUGAACUGGAUAUCUAGCCGAGUUCCACAAAAGAUAAUGUCAAUGUUCUUCAUGGAAGGAAACUCUGGCCAACCUCCCAAGCGUUUAGAAGUUUCUAGGAGCUCAAAUGGAGAAGAUGAUGAAGAAUGGUCGCUGAUAUCUGAAAUGCACUCAAGGUUAGAAAUUUCUUGGAGAGAUGCAAAAUAUGGUCAAAGAAUUCAAGAACUUAAUUUUGCAAG